GUUGGGGCAAGAGUGGGAAGCAGAAAAUCAUUCCUGACUUCCACCUGGGCCAGGGCCUGAGUACAGAACAAGACUUUGUCCUCUAGUUUGGCUGCCCCAAGAUCAGAGCAGAUCACAAACGCUAAUGGUCUGGACUCAUAUCCAAUGACCUGCAUGGAGAUCAUCAUAGAACAACAAUAGCAAAAAGUCUGUGUGGGGCAGGAAGAAAACACUGGAUUUCACAAGAUCAUAUUGCUACAUUUGUAACUAUUUACACUUUCUAAAUGCAUUCAGUCAGCAAGGAGGUAAGAACAAGGGAGAAGUCUGUUCACGUCCUUAUAAACUGGGUCAGCUGUGGAUUGCGUCAGUGUAUGGCCAAGAGACCAAAAUGAUGACUUGCCAAAUCAAACGGGGGAAUGUUUAAUAAAAGGAGCUGUGGGUUUAUCUCAGCAAUUAGAACUACAACGCCCCCCCGCCCCCCGACCAAAACAAGCCACCCCAAACCUGUGUGUGAGUACCAAGGACACAUUUGGAAAUCUAAUGGCAAGGAUCUCCCCCCAGGGUGGGAUUUAUACCUCACUAGACAGGGUGUGGCUACAGACAAUGGAUGAUAAGGGGAUUAGACAGAACUUCCUCUCCACACUCACCACCCUGAGGCUUGUAGGCAGAAUACAAUGGCUGGUAGUGACCACAGGGAAUACUAACCAUGGAGUAGGGAUCAGAAAAAGACGCAGCAGUAGCAGCAGCAGCAGCACAGAAGCAGCAGCAGCGCAGAAGCAUCCAGAACUCAGAAGAGGUGCUCCACCCGUCUCAAGUUUCCUUCACUGCCUUCCCCUCUCAAUGUGUAAUAAGAUCCAGAGGCAAAGGCAAUUUGGAAAGACACAGGGUGCCCCUGCAGCCACCAUGAGGAUCUUCCUCUUGUUCUCAGUCCUGGCUUUGUUCCAGAGCAUCUUAGAACACUUACUGGACCAGCAAGACAGUUAAGGAAGUCACAACUCAGGCAUCCACUGACUAUAUGAAAUGCAG
rnacentral:lncRNA from 1 species